ACGUAUGGAGCAAGCGUUAUCCGGAUUUACUGGGUGUAAAGGGAGCGUAGGCGGUCCUGCAAGUCUGAUGUGAAAGGCCGGGGCUCAACCCCGGGACUGCAUUGGAAACUGUAGGACUAGAGUGUCGGAGGGGUAAGUGGAAUUCCUAGUGUAGCGGUGAAAUGCGUAGAUAUUAGGAGGAACACCAGUGGCGAAAGCGGCUUACUGGACGACUACUGACGCUGAGGCUCGAAAGCGUGGGGAGCAAACAG
rnacentral:rRNA from 1 species